rnacentral:lncRNA from 1 species
UACCUUCAGGCCGGGACACUGAGGCCCGGUCUUUUCACCUCCGAAUAAAUAUGCUCUUAUCUGGCAGUUAGCUAUCUGGAGGAUAAAUAUUUAUUCGCCAGAUAAAAUGUACCCGUCUUUUCACGUCAAUUUAUGUUCCAGUUAGUUAUCCGGUAGAUAAGCUUAAAACUUUAACUUAACCUAACAUAAACAUAAUUAGAUUCACAUAAUCAAGACCAAGAUGAUUUUCUCGAUUUUAUUUCCAUUUUGGAAGAAGGAAAUAAGGAAAACAUUGAUUAUGCUGAAAUAGUUUACUGGAGAGCUUGAACAAGAGGUAAAUCCAUUUUAAAUUAGAGGAAAACUGUUGAUUUGUAUGUAAAAUAGAAGACAAAGACAAGUUUAAAUAAAGACAAGCUAGCUAAUGAAA